GAUGAACGCUGGCGGCGUGCCUAAUACAUGCAAGUCGAGCGAACGGACGAGAAGCUUGCUUCUCUGAUGUUAGCGGCGGACGGGUGAGUAACACGUGGAUAACCUACCUAUAAGACUGGGAUAACUUCGGGAAACCGGAGCUAAUACCGGAUAAUAUUUUGAACCGCAUGGUUCAAAAGUGAAAGACGGUCUUGCUGUCACUUAUAGAUGGAUCCGCGCUGCAUUAGCUAGUUGGUAAGGUAACGGCUUACCAAGGCAACGAUGCAUAGCCGACCUGAGAGGGUGAUCGGCCACACUGGAACUGAGACACGGUCCAGACUCCUACGGGAGGCAGCAGUAGGGAAUCUUCCGCAAUGGGCGAAAGCCUGACGGAGCAACGCCGCGUGAGUGAUGAAGGUCUUCGGAUCGUAAAACUCUGUUAUUAGGGAAGAACAUAUGUGUAAGUAACUGUGCACAUCUUGACGGUACCUAAUCAGAAAGCCACGGCUAACUACGUGCCAGCAGCCGCGGUAAUACGUAGGUGGCAAGCGUUAUCCGGAAUUAUUGGGCGUAAAGCGCGCGUAGCCGGUUUUUUAAGUCUGAUGUGAAAGCCCACGGCUCAACCGUGGAGGGUCAUUGGAAACUGGAAAACUUGAGUGCAGAAGAGGAAAGUGGAAUUCCAUGUGUAGCGGUGAAAUGCGCAGAGAUAUGGAGGAACACCAGUGGCGAAGGCGACUUUCUGGUCUGUAACUGACGCUGAUGUGCGAAAGCGUGGGGAUCAAACAGGAUUAGAUACCCUGGUAGUCCACGCCGUAAACGAUGAGUGCUAAGUGUUAGGGUCUUUCCGCCCCUUAGUGCUGCAGCUAACGCAUUAAGCACUCCGCCUGGGGAGUACGACCGCAAGGUUGAAACUCAAAGGAAUUGACGGGGACCCGCACAAGCGGUGGAGCAUGUGGUUUAAUUCGAAGCAACGCGAAGAACCUUACCAAAUCUUGACAUCCUUUGACAACUCUAGAGAUAGAGCCUUCCCCUUCGGGGGACAAAGUGACAGGUGGUGCAUGGUUGUCGUCAGCUCGUGUCGUGAGAUGUUGGGUUAAGUCCCGCAACGAGCGCAACCCUUAAGCUUAGUUGCCAUCAUUAAGUUGGGCACUCUAAGUUGACUGCCGGUGACAAAUCGGAGGAAGGUGGGGAUGACGUCAAAUCAUCAUGCCCCUUAUGAUUUGGGCUACACACGUGCUACAAUGGACAAUACAAAGGGCAGCGAAACCGCGAGGUCAAGCAAAUCCCAUAAAGUUGUUCUCAGUUCGGAUUGUAGUCUGCAACUCGACUACAUGAAGCUGGAAUCGCUAGUAAUCGUAGAUCAGCAUGCUACGGUGAAUACGUUCCCGGGUCU
rnacentral:rRNA from 1 species